UACGUAGGGGGCGAGCGUUGUCCGGAUUUACUGGGCGUAAAGCGCGUGUAGGCGGUUUGCCAAGUCCGGGGUGAAAGGCGGGGGCUCAACCCCCGCAGCUGCGCUGGAAACUGGCAGACUUGAGUGUCGGAGAGGGGAGUGGAAUUCUCGGUGUAGCGGUGAAAUGCGUAGAGAUCGAGAGGAACACCCGUGGCGAAGGCGGCUCCCUGGCCGAACACUGACGCUGGAGACGCGAAAGCGCGGGGAGCGAACGGG
rnacentral:rRNA from 1 species